rnacentral:lncRNA from 7 species
GGGGCCGGGUCUUCUUCCUCUAAUGCGUCCUUGCCAUGGGCUAUACCGUCACCCUCGUCGGCACCUCUUUUUCAUUGUGGGAAGGGUGUUGUCGUUGCUCUACGGUUGGCGUGGCGGCGGUAGCGGAGAUGUGCAGCAGCACGCGACGGGGUUGGAGAGAACCUUCGCGUGUAGGGCCAACUUGGCUGGAGAAAUAGAGGUUUUGGCCAUGGGAGAUGCCCGCCGGAGGAGAAACAGGAUGAAAAAUGAGAAAUAAACAAAAUAAUCAGUGCGGUGUUUUAUAACAAAUAUGCACGAUUUCAUAAUGAUACAAGCCGUAUUUUAACGUUGGUGGUUUGAAUUGGAUAAUUUCAUUGAAGUCAGAUAUCCUACAACAAAAUCUGCCAUUAUAUUAUAUUAUAUUAUUUCUAGAAUUCUCUUUAUCAAGUUUAAGGUGGUGUUCGAAUGCACUAGAGCUAAUAGUUAGUAACUAAAAUUAGUUGAAGACAUCCAAACAAUCUAGCUAAUAGUUCAGCUAUUAGCUACUUUUAGCAAAUUAGCUAAUAGUUAGCUAGCUAAUUUUACUAGCAAUUAUAUAUUUAGACAACUAACUAUUAUUAUCUUUAGUGCAUUUAAACACCCCCUAAACCAUUUAUUAUGUAUAUAUACCUAUGUUGUUUUCCUCUAAAAUGGAUACGUUAUUAAGCAAGAUAUAUAUUAUAUUGGAGCAGUCUAUGGUUUAUGAAGGCCGGCCAGCUGUCUCCUUUAAUAUAUAGAUAAAAAUAAUAUUACACGAGAGAAGGUUGGGUUACAAUAUAUCAAGAACACUGAAAAC